rnacentral:tRNA from 1 species
GCCAGCAUGGCUCAGUGGUUGAGCAUCGACUUAUGAACCAGAAGGUCAUGGGUUCGAAUCCCAGUCCAGGCA